CAAAAUGCUAUGAUAGAGAAAAGUACUUUGACUUACUUUAUAACAGAGAAGGAUAUAUUAGCUGAAAGUAUCCUAUAAAGUAGCAAGGGAAGUUCACUCUGGAGCUUUAGGGUCGAAAUAGCAGUAGGCCUUAACGUUAAGAUGCGUUAAUUCUUUUAAAGUGGUCUUUUAGACUAUUAGGGUGGUACCGCGGAAUACAAACUUUCGUCCCUACU
rnacentral:ncRNA from 1 species